AACGCACGAGACCUGCGGACCUGCGGAGGGAUCAUUACUGAGUACCGGGUCUCUCAGGCCCUUACUCCCACCCUUUUGUGUACCUUACCACUACUUCAGUUGCCUUGGCGGGUUCGACCUCCCCCUCUUUUGGGGUGAGGAAGGCUCGCCAGGGGAACCCACCUAAACUCUCAUGAAUCGAGUCGUCUGAGAACAAACUUAAUAAGUUAAAACUUUCAGCAAUGGAUCUCUAGAUCGGAA
rnacentral:misc_RNA from 1 species